GGAUCAAUAUGUUGGUCGUGCCUUGGUACGUACUGGCAUUAUUGGUUUCUACCUUCUGAAGAACCUCGAUGUCAUUAAUUUGGUGUCUUGGGGAAUCAGGACUGUUACUUUGGUAAAAAAAUUAGAGUGUUUAAAGCAGGCUCGCGCUUGAAUACAUUAGCAUGGAAUAAUGAAAUAGGACGUUUGAUUCUAUUUUGUUGGUUUCUAGGAUCGACGUAAUGA
rnacentral:rRNA from 1 species